GCUUCGAUAGCUCAACGGCAGAGCAUUCGGCUGUUAACCGAAAGGUUAUGGGUUCAAGUCCCAUUCGAAGCUCCA
rnacentral:tRNA from 1 species